AGUGAACGCUGGCGGCGUGCUUAACACAUGCAAGUCGAACGGAUGAAAUAAGCUUGCUUAUUUCGUUAGUGGCGCACGGGUGAGUAAUGUAUAGCUAACCUGCCCUUUAGUGGGGGACAACAGUUGGAAACGACUGCUAAUACCCCAUAUUCCUUCUUAUCACAAGGUAAGUUGGGAAAGAUUUAUUGCUAAAGGAUGGGGCUUUAUGGUAUCAGCUAGUUGGUGGGGUAACGGCCUACCAAGGCUAUGACGCCUACCUGGUCUGAGAGGAUGAUCAGGCACACUGGAACUGAGACACGGUCCAGACUCCUACGGGAGGCAGCAGUGGGGAAUAUUGCACAAUGGAGGAAACUCUGAUGCAGCAACGCCGCGUGGAGGAUGACGCAUUUCGGUGUGUAAACUCCUUUUAUAAGGGAAGAUAAUGACGGUACCUUAUGAAUAAGCACCGGCUAACUCCGUGCCAGCAGCCGCGGUAAUGUCUAGC
rnacentral:rRNA from 1 species